AACGAACGCUGGCGGCGUGCCUAACACAUGCAAGUCGUGCGAGAAAGUUCCUUCGGGAGCGAGUAAAGCGGCGCACGGGUGAGUAACACGUAGGUAACCUGCCCCCCAGUCUGGAACAACUAGAGGAAACUCUAGCUAAUGCCGGAUGAGACCACGAUCCCUUCGGGGUUGCGGCCAAAGAUGGCCUCUACUUGUAAGCUAUCGCUGAGGGAUGGGCCUGCGGGCCAUUAGCUUGUUGGUGAGGUAACGGCUCACCAAGGCUGUGAUGGCUAGCUGGUCUGAGAGGAUGACCAGCCACACUGGGACUGAGACACGGCCCAGACUCCCUACGGGAGGCAGCAGUGGGGAA
rnacentral:rRNA from 1 species